GAGAAGGAGAAGGAGAAGAAGAAGUGAAAAAUUCAGUGCCUGGUGCUUCUUCUCCAAGUAGAGAGUUCUGUUAUGGGGAAAAGGAAAAGAGUGACAUGGAAACAAAGUUAGAGAAGACAGAGUUAAGUGAGAAGGCAAGCUUUCGUUUAAAUCUGGAGAAGCAGCCAAUUUCAGUGAGAACGAGAAGAGUGCGAGGAUACUGAAAAAUAUAUGUAGUUCAGAAUUGGGUUUGCUUUUGUAUUCCUUCUACAUAUGUAUAAUUUUAUUUUUGGUUUGGAAAGAUCAUGAAAAUUGUGUAAUUAUGUGUAUGGGCUAGAAAAUUUGUUCUCAAGUUUCAAUGUUGCUUCUAGCAUGACUAUGUUUGGGCUUGGAAUGUUUGGAGAGGAUGUUUGCAAGGUCUUGGACGCAAGCCUCUAGGUGGAAAGCACGAGGAAAAAUUUGGAGUGCGUGAUGUCU
rnacentral:misc_RNA from 1 species